rnacentral:rRNA from 1 species
AGAAUUAGGGAUCGGUGGAUGUUAGCGUUUAGAUAGACGCCUUUACAUCCAAGGAAGGCAGCAGGCGCGCAAAUUACCCAAUCCCGACUCGGGGAGGUAGUGACAAUAAAUAACAAUGCUGGGCUAUCGUAGUCCGGCAAUUGGAAUGAGAACAAUUUAAUAUCCCUUAACGAGGAACAAUUGGAGGGCAAGUCUGGUGCCAGCAGCCGCGGUAAUUCCAGCUCCAAUAGCGUAUAUUAAAGUUGUUGCAGUUAAAAAGCUCGUAGUUGGAUUUCGGGGCGGCCCGACUGGUCCGCCGCGAGGUGAGCACUGGUCGGCCGCUCUUCCUCUCGGAAGCCCCGACUGCUCUUCGUUGCAGUGGUCGGGGAGUUCGGGACGUUUACUUUGAAAAAAUUAGAGUGUUCAAGGCAGCCCGAUCGCCCUGAAUACAUUAGCAUGGAAUAAUGGAAGAGGACCUCGGUCCCGUUUUGUUGGUUUCUUGGACCGAAGUAAUGAUUAAGAGGGACAGUUGGGGGCAUUCGUAUUUAAUUGUCAGAGGUGAAAUUUUUGGUUUUAUGAAUAACUGCUCGAACCGUAUGGCCUUCGUG